rnacentral:rRNA from 1 species
UACGGAGGGUGCGAGCGUUGUCCGGAAUCACUGGGCGUAAAGGGCGCGUAGGCGGCCUGAUAAGUAGGGGGUGAAAUCCUGCGGCUUAACCGCAGGGCUGCCUCAGAUACCGACGGUCUCGAGGGAGGUAGGGGCGAGCGGAACUGAUGGUGGAGCGGUGAAAUGCGUUGAUAUCAUCAGGAACUCCGGUGGCGAAGGCGGCUCGCUGGACCUUUUCUGACGCUGAGGCGCGAAAGCUAGGGGAGCAAACGGG